CAGUAGCCACGGUAAUACGUAGGUGGCAAGCGUUGUCCGGAAUUAUUGGGCGUAAAGGGCUCGCAGGCGGUUUCUUAAGUCUGAUGUGAAAGCCCCCGGCUCAACCGGGGAGGGUCAUUGGAAACUGGGAGACUUGAGUGCAGAAGAGGAGAGUGGAAUUCCACGUGUAGCGGUGAAAUGCGUAGAGAUGUGGAGGAACACCAGUGGCGAAAGCGGCUCACUGGACCAUAACUGACGCUGAGGCACGAAAGCUAGGGGAGCAAACAGGAUUAGAUACCCCAGUAGUCCCUGUCUCUUAUAC
rnacentral:rRNA from 1 species